rnacentral:rRNA from 1 species
UACAGAGGUCCCAAGCGUUGUUCGGAUUCACUGGGCGUAAAGGGUGCGUAGGCGGUCGGGUAAGUCUGAUGUGAAAUCUCACAGCUUAACUGUGAAACUGCAUUGGAUACUAUUCGGCUUGAGAGUUGGAGGGGGGACUGGAAUUCUUGGUGUAGCAGUGAAAUGCGUAGAUAUCAAGAGGAACACCAGUGGCGAAGGCGAGUCCCUGGGCAGCAACUGACGCUGAGGAGCGAAAGCGUGGGGAGCGAACAGG